UACGGAGGGUGCAAGCGUUAAUCGGAAUUACUGGGCGUAAAGCGCACGCAGGCGGUCUAUUAAGUCAGAUGUGAAAGCCCGGAGCUUAACUUGGGAAUUGCAUCGGAAACUGGUUGGCUAGAGUCUUGUAGAGGGAGGUGGAAUUCGAUGUGUAGCGGUGAAAUGCGUAGAGAUGUGGAGGAAUACCGGUGGCGAAGGCAGCCCCCUGGGCAAAGACUGACGCUGAGGUGCGAAAGCGUGGGGAGCAAACAGG
rnacentral:rRNA from 1 species